UACGGGAGGCAGCAGUGGGGAAUAUUGCACAAUGGGCGAAAGCCUGAUGCAGCUAUGCCGCGUGUAUGAAGAAGGCCUUAGGGUUGUAAAGUACUUUCAUCGGGGAGGAAAAACAAAACUAAUAAUUUUAUUUCUUGACGUUACCCGAAAAAGAAGCACCGGCUAACUCCGUGCCAGCAGCCGCGGUAAUACGGAGGGUGCUAGCGUUAAUCAGAAUUACUGGGCGUAAAGAGCACGUAGGUGGUUUUUUUAAGUCAGAUGUGAAAUCCCUGGGCUUAACCUAGGAACUGCAUUUUGAAACUGAAAUACUAGAGUAUCGUAGAGGGAGGUAGAAUUCUAGGUGUAGCGGUGAAAUGCGUAGAUAUCUGGAGGAAUACCUGUGGCGAAAGCGGCCUCCUAAACGAAUACUGACACUGAGGUGCGAAAGCUGGGGAGCAAACAGGGAUUAGAUACCCGU
rnacentral:rRNA from 1 species